CCCUGGCUUUAGGUCGGCGGCGGAGAAAACACCGAUGGAUUUGCCGUUUUCGUCUGCCAGCUCGUAGGCGGACGUACCAACCCGAGCUAUGACGGUGCAUGGGAGGUAGCAAGGUCCCAGCUUGGCAUUAUAGUGAUGGGGGGCAGAUGACUGGCGAAAGUUUCGCUUGUACACCUUUUGCCCUACCAUGUACACAGGUUUUUGUAAACGAGUUUGUAAAUAGACUGGUCAAUUUGAA